CAUCAUGCAGGGGGUUGAUGUCUGCAGAAAGGCAGAUGGUACCAUAAGUAAGUAUAAAAGAAAUAGUUUCCACAGUUACACCGGCAAAGCUUAAUGGGAGAAUGGCUAAGGGAGAGAUUAGUGUGGUAGGGAUCUAAGAGACAGUUUGACCCAUGAGGUCUUUAAAAGGGAGGUAGAGUGUAGAUAAAGCUCCCUAAAAUGGAUGGGGCUAAAAAAGUAUUAUGUGCCAGCCAGAGGAGGCAGCUUGCAAUGGCUAGCCAAGUGGUGAACGGAGUCUGAAGAUGAUGAUAAAUGCUUAUGAGAAAGUUUGUGUUCUACAAGGCUGAUAACUAAUGAGCUUGUCUCCAGAGGACUCACAUUCCAUAGAUAAUAAUUUGUAUGCAAAAGGGUUCUCUACAGUUUCAGAAAAUUAUAACGGUAUGUACUAAGCAUUUCUUUGACACCAGGGAAUCAGAUUACAACAUUCUCCUGGGCAGCAAGCUGUGCUUGAGAACAGUAGGUUAAGGACUUUGGGAACGUGAGAACAAAAUCCAACCCAAGACUCCUUUUAGCCCAAACUGUACCGAUUCCAGGUCUUCAGACCCUCAGGGCCGUGGUUUGUGCCUCCAGUGCAGCAGCAGAGCCUGACUUGGUUGCCUCUGAAACCAGUUUUUGGAAACCUCUUGAAACCAUUAAAAAUGGCUCCUUCACAUAAACCACAAAAUAGACUUAUUUAAAAUGACAGAGAUAUCACAACUAAUAACAGUAUAAGUUUGGAAACUGUUACAGAAGUUCUCCAUUUCCUGUGGUUUUUGUCUUUAACACUAUAAUUACCUGUGGUCAACUGUGAUCUGAAAAUGUGAAGUGGAAUGUUCUGCAGUUAGAUAUUAGUUGUUUUAAUUAUUAGAUAAAUAGCAAAUAUAUGUUUUAAAUUACAAGGAUUUCAAGUUGUUUUAAGUGCCAUGAUAAACUGUUGCCCAGAAAAUGCAUUAUCUCUUUAUUCAAGGCAUCCACUUAGUAUACUAUCCACUUUUUAGUAACCAUGUCAUUUAUAAGAAAGACUAUCUUGAUAUUGCAGGAUUUGUGUUCAAGACACUUUUGUUUUGCCUAAUAAUGACUCCAAAAGGGGUGAGUAGGGAUGCCAAAGGGAGACUCACAGGGAAGCACAGACUAACUGUUGCUGUGUGGCAAUGCUGUAGGACAUGCCGCAGGCCUGCUAUGUGUAAGGUCCAGCAUUUUCUGCCGUUUCAGGCAUCUACCAAAAAAAAAAAAUGCUUUCUGGAGCAUGCAUAGAUGUGGGUGCUACACAGGAAUAUAAACUCUAGAAAAAAAUAUGAUCCCUUGCUUGCUAUUUAUUAUGAACGUGUCCUACAUUUUCCUACACAUAGUCUCUGAUUGUUUCUUUAUAUGAAAAUUUUCUAUUAUUUUUAUAGUGAGAAUGAAUAUUCUAUCAUUUCUGUAGGGUGAACUUUUAAAUAUCUAUCUUAUUACUGGUAAAACAGAGGAAUAUUCUAAUUCUGGGAUAGGAUCUCUGGCCCUGUGCUGGGAACUCCUGAUUGAUGGUACAGAGCAGAAGAUGUAGUCAACAGCUGGGGCAGGCCUUUUCUUCUUUCACAGAAGCAAAUGCUUCUGUGGUCUCUCCAGAUGGCAGUCUGCUCUACACGGACGUGGGUUAACUGAGACUCCAGAGAGCACUUCCUGUGGCCAAAGUUAGGGUAUCCGUGCCCCUGUGACUCCACUGCAUGGCAAGACAGGAGGAGCAGGAUGGAGUGGCCACAGAGUCGAAUUCUAACCUGCAAAGUUAAACUCUCUUACCUUUAAAGGCUUAACAAAGCAUUAACUUCAGAUAGCAGCCUUGGGAAUAGGUCCAUGUUAAUGAGAAGCCCUGGAGAAGUGAAAUUUACUUUUUAUCUCUUCUGAAAAAACUGCAACAAGGCCACAUUCUAAC
rnacentral:lncRNA from 1 species